GAGUUUGAUCUUGGCUCAGAUUGAACGCUGGCGGCAUGCCUUACACAUGCAAGUCGAACGGCAGCACGGGAGCUUGCUCCUGGUGGCGAGUGGCGAACGGGUGAGUAAUGCAUACGGAACGUAUCCUGGAGGUGGGGGAUAACGUAGCGAAAGUUACGCUAAUACCGCAUAUUCUGUGAGCAGGAAAGGCGGGGGGCCUUCGGGCCUCGCGCUCUUGGAGCGGCCGAUGUCGGAUU
rnacentral:rRNA from 1 species